AUUGAACGCUGGCGGCAGGCCUAACACAUGCAAGUCGAACGGUAACAGGAAGCAGCUUGCUGCUUCGCUGACGAGUGGCGGACGGGUGAGUAAUGUCUGGGAAACUGCCUGAUGGAGGGGGAUAACUACUGGAAACGGUAGCUAAUACCGCAUAACGUCGCAAGACCAAAGAGGGGGACCUUCGGGCCUCUUGCCAUCGGAUGUGCCCAGAUGGGAUUAGCUAGUAGGUGGGGUAACGGCUCACCUAGGCGACGAUCCCUAGCUGGUCUGAGAGGAUGACCAGCCACACUGGAACUGAGACACGGUCCAGAUUCCUACGGGAGGCAGCAGUGGGGAAUAUUGCACAAUGGGCGCAAGCCUGAU
rnacentral:rRNA from 1 species